rnacentral:rRNA from 1 species
GAUGAACGCUGGCGGCGUGCCUAAUACAUGCAAGUCGAGCGAACAGAUGAGGAGCUUGCUCCUCUGACGUUAGCGGCGGACGGGUGAGUAACACGUGGAUAACCUACCUAUAAGACUGGGAUAACUUCGGGAAACCGGAGCUAAUACCGGAUAAUAUAUUGAACCGCAUGGUUCAAUAGCGAAAGACGGUUUUGCUGUCACUUAUAGAUGGAUCCGCGCCGCAUUAGCUAGUUGGUAAGGUAACGGCUUACCAAGGCAACGAUGCGUAGCCGACCUGAGAGGGCGAUCGGCCACACUGGAACUGAGACACGGUCCAGACUCCUACGGGAGGCAGCAGUAGGGAAUCUUCCGCAAUGGGCGAAAGCCUGACGGAGCAACGCCGCGUGAGUGAUGAAGGUCUUCGGAUCGUAAAACUCUGUUAUUAGGGAAGAACAAAUGUGUAAGUAACUAUGCACGUCUUGACGGUACCUAAUCAGAAAGCCACGGCUAACUACGUG